rnacentral:rRNA from 1 species
GUAAUACAUCGGAACGUGCCCAGUAGUGGGGGAUAGCCCGGCGAAAGCCGGAUUAAUACCGCAUACGACCUACGGGUGAAAGCGGGGGACCGAAAGGCCUCGCGCUAUUGGAGCGGCCGAUGGCUGAUUAGCUAGUUGGUGGGGUAAAGGCCUACCAAGGCUACGAUCAGUCGCUGGUCUGAGAGGACGACCAGCCACACUGGGACUGAGACACGGCCCAGACUCCUACGGGAGGCAGCAGUGGGGAAUUUUGGACAAUGGGCGAAAGCCUGAUCCAGCAAUGCCGCGUGUGCGAAGAAGGCCUUCGGGUUGUAAAGCACUUUUGUCAGGAAAGAAAUUGUCUGGGCUAAUACCCCGGGCCGUUGACGGUACCUGAAGAAUAAGCACCGGCUAACUACGUGCCAGCAGCCGCGGUAAUACGUAGGGUGCAAGCGUUAAUCGGAAUUACUGGGCGUAAAGCGUGCGCAGGCGGUUAUGUAAGACAGAGGUGAAAUCCCCGGGCUUAACCUGGGAACUGCCUUUGUGACUGCAUAGCUAGAGUUUGGCAGAGGGGGGUGGAAUUCCUGGUGUAGCAGUGAAAUGCGUAGAUAUCAGGAGGAACACCGAUGGCGAAGGCAGCCCCCUGGGCCAUGACUGACGCUCAUGCA